rnacentral:rRNA from 1 species
GGGGACAAUACCCCCUAUGAUGACGGUACCGUUUGUAAGCUCCGGCUAACUCCGUGCCAGCAGCCGCGGUAAUACGGGGGGAGCAAGCGUUGUUCGGAUUUACUGGGCGUAAAGGGCGCGUAGGCGGCCAGCACAAGUCAGUUGUGAAAUCUCCGAGCUUAACUCGGAAAGGUCAACUGAUACUGUGCGGCUAGAGUGCGGAAGGGGCAACUGGAAUUCUUGGUGUAGCGGUGAAAUGCGUAGAUAUCAAGAGGAACACCUGCGGCGAAGGCGGGUUGCUGGGCCGACACUGACGCUGAGGCGCGAAAGCUAGGGGAGCGAACGGGAUUAGAUACCCCGGUAGUCCUAGCCUUAAACGAUGAAUGCUUGGUGUCUGGGGUUAUAAAGUCCCCGGGUGCCGUCGCUAACGCUUUAAGCAUUCCGCCUGGGGAGUACGGUCGCAAGACUGAAACUCAAA